UCACUGGAACAAUACAAUGAACACGCGAACGAUUACUUUUUCAUGUAAAUUUAUGUAACGUUAUCUAUUAGAUUAAUCAAAUUAGCGAAAUUCAAUCGUUAAGUUUCUAUUCACGCUAUUGGAGAUUGUCGGAUUUAUUUUUAUUGAAUCUUCGCUGUUUGUAAAUUAGCAACAGAGUAGGAAACGAAUGAACGCUGGUGCAUGGGAAAUAACGUGACUGCGGAGUGCGCAGGCAUUAAAAAUUACUUCGUUUGCUCUGCUUAGGGCAGAUUGUUUCGCUUCAUCCUUGACAUUACAAAUCGCAGUUUGUUAUUACGAAUCAGAAAAAAUAUAGAAGAUGUAUUCAAAUAGUAGAUACAGAAGCUCAUUACACAAAUAGAAGGUACAAAAACGAUCUCUAUGAUCCGAGAAUAGUAAUGUAAAAUAGUUGAGAAAAAGUAUAUCGAUCCAAUUGUCGACAUUCGUUUACGCAAGUGCAACGUAGAUCCGAUAAAUUUCAAUAACGUAAAUCCAUUAAAAAGAAAAGUUGCGAGUGAAAUGUAGCGUUAAUUUCGUUCUCUAAUGGGAUUAAUGAAUUAAGGAGCUGCACUUCGACUCUCUCGAUGUAUCUAUCAGCGUGUUUCAACAAUGUUUACUAUCACUGAUGGAAAUUUUCUUUACGGCGUCGUGUAAUAUCAAGCACCCGUAGUAUCUGUAGAACCCGGAAGAAGUUUAUGUGAGCGUUCACAUGGAGGCCGGUCUUUGUACGCGUCAGCUUUUAAUCUCGAUUUAAGUGGGAUAUCACGUUAGCGCGAGGGGCGCAAAACGAGAAUGGCAGCGGGGCCAAUUGAAAGACGCGUGCGUGAAUGCGUCCUUCUUCCGUGUAGCUACACCCUUGAGAGAGUGCCGUCUGACGCGCAAAUGCGUAAAUAUUAUCAGAGCACCGGUGAAAAGAAAGAAAAGAAGGCAACAGGUAGCCGAACAUCACGCUUGGGCACUUGCAAUUUCAUUUAAUAAUGAUGUCAUCUACGACAUUGACAUCGACACCAGAUGUAGGCGCCAAUAGAAGAUGCAAAGAAUGCGAAUAAACAGGCACGUAAUUUAUGCGAAGAUCUGAAACGCAAAUGUGACCUUAACCGAAAGAACACGAGCGUGGGUACACCCUUGUUCAUAAGUUUAUUAGAACACAUGUAAAAACUUGUGUAAAUUUAAAUUACUAAGAAAUUCCUGACACGUGCAAAAAUUAUCUCAUUUGAAACGUUGGACUAUAAAGAAUCUAUGGUUUGGAAUUUCAGAAUGAAAAAUAAUUUUAAACAGUUGAACAUCCAAACACGUAUUAGCACGUUUAUGAAAACCUACUUAGACAGAUUUGCCAAAUCAUUAAGAAGUAAGUUAUGAUCGUCGGACUAUGAAGCACUGAUAUUUUGAGACAGUAACAUCAGAAAUAGUUUCAAAUAUAAAAUAUCAAAUGAUUUCACUCGGAGAAUGAAUAAUUUGCUUGUAUAAAUAUACCAAUGCAUAGAUA